rnacentral:lncRNA from 1 species
GGAGUUAUUGCCCUUUAUAGUAAAUUUUUAACCAUUUUUCGUAAAUCUUAGUUAUCUUUUACAAAAAUCUUCUCCUCUGAAACUACUGGGCCAAAUUAAUUCAAACUUGGCCACAAUCAUCUUUGAGGUACCUUGUUUGGAAAUGUGUCCGAUGACCUGGCCAUCCAACCAAGAUGGCCACCACGGCUAAAAAUAGAACAGGGGUAAAAUGUAGUUUUUUGCUUACAACUCUGAAACCCAAAUCAUUUAGAGGAAAUCUGACAAGGAGUUAAAUUGUUAAUCAAGUCAAUAUAUAUCUGCCCUGAAAUAUUCAAAUGAAUUGGACAACCGGUUGUUGGGUUGCUGCCCUCCAAUUGGUAAUUUUUAAAGAAAUUUUGCUGUUUUUGGUUAUUAUCUUGAAUACUAUUAUAGAUAGCGAUAAACUGUAAACAGCAAUAAUGUUCAUCAAAGUAAGAUCUACAAAUAAGUCCACAUGACCUAAAUGGUCAAUUGACCCCUUAAGGAGUUAUUGCCCUUUAUAGUCAAUUUUUAACAAUUUUCAUUAAUUUGGUAAAUUUAUGUAAAUUUUUACCAAAUAUUUUUCUCUGUUACUAAUGGGCAAAGUUCAUUAUAGAUAUAAUUGUAAGAAGCAAGAAUGUUCAGUAAAGUAAGAACUUCAAACACAUCACCAUCACCAAAAUACAAUUUUGUCAUGAAUCCAUUUGUGUCCUUUGUUAAAUAUGCACAUAGACCAAGGUGAGCGACACAGGCUCUUUAGAGCCUCUAGUUUUUAUUGCCAAAUAACAUAAUAUAUUUUACGUUUAAAAUUUACCUUUUUUCUACCCCUCCCUCCCUUAAAUAAGAUGAUUUUGUCCCAUUGUGUCUAUGAUUAUUCUCUCAAACUUAUUUU